rnacentral:rRNA from 1 species
AUGAAGAGCUCAGAAACAUCUGCUGCAAUGCAUCCAGGAAGGGUGAUGGCCCCAGCUCCAGGACAAAAAAAGAGGAUCCUGGAAGCUGAUGAACCUUCCCAUGAUAGAGUCACAAGGCAAAAAGCAAAGAUGGCGACUGCGACGGACCAUCAGGAAAGUGUGCUGCGCAUGGACUCUGAGACCUUGGUGCAAAUGGGUGAUGAGUUGCCACCCAUGGAUGAAGAUGCAAUGACUACCAAGACUAGACUUAGAAAGGGCAAAUGGCUAGAGAGAAUCACCAAGUCGCUUGGUAGUGAGGUGCCUAUCCAAAUUGCCCCAGGGAUGAAGCGUCCAGAGAAGCCUCUGCUGGCAGCAAAGCUUGCUUCUGAGUGUGGACUCGUUGCAAGAAGCCAUCUUCCGGUUCUUCCUCACUUCAAGCUAUACAAAAAAAUGCUAGUCUAUUGGAGAACUACAUUGGAAAAGUUGUUGCAAAUUUUGAGAUUAACACGGACUCGGAGACCAUCAAGACCGCGUGCAAAGAUAUUCUGCAGAAAAAUUCAAAGAACAGACGCCAUCAGAUCAAGAAGAAGUAUUUUGACACCGUAG